GACGAACGCUGGCGGCGUGCCUAAUACAUGCAAGUCGAGCGCUGAAGGUUGGUACUUGUACCAACUGGAUGAGCAGCGAACGGGUGAGUAACGCGUGGGGAAUCUGCCUUUGAGCGGGGGACAACAUUUGGAAACGAAUGCUAAUACCGCAUAAAAACUUUAAACACAAGGUUUAAGUUUGAAAGAUGCAUUUGCAUCACUCAAAGAUGAUCCCGCGUUGUAUUAGCUAGUUGGUGAGGUAAAGGCUCACCAAGGCGGUGAUACAUAGCCGACCUGAGAGGGUGGACGGCCACAAUGGGACUGAGAACACGCCCAAACUCCUACGGGAAGCAGCAGUAGGGGAUCUUCGGCAAAUGACGGAAGUCUGACCGAACAACGGCGGGGGGGGGGAGGAGGUUUUCGGGUCGUAAAACUCUGUUGGUAGGGAAGGACGUUGGUGAGAGUAAAAAGCUCAUCAAGUGACGGUAACUACACAAAAAGCAACGGCUAACUACGUG
rnacentral:rRNA from 1 species